rnacentral:rRNA from 1 species
AGUGAACGCUGGCGGUAGGCCUAACACAUGCAAGUCCAACGGCAGCACAGUAAGAGCUUGCUCUUACGGGUGGCGAGUGGCGGACGGGUGAGGAAUACAUCGGAAUCUACUUUUUCGUGGGGGAUAACGUAGGGAAACUUACGCUAAUACCGCAUACGACCUACGGGUGAAAGCAGGGGAUCUUCGGACCUUGCGCGAUUGAAUGAGCCGAUGCCGGAUUAGCUAGUUGGCGGGGUAAAGGCCCACCAAGGCGACGAUCCGUAGCUGGUCUGAGAGGAUGAUCAGCCACACUGGAACUGAGACACGGUCCAGACUCCUACGGGAGGCAGCAGUGGGGAAUAUUGGACAAAGGGCGCAAGCCUGAUCCAGCCAUACCGCGUGGGUGAAGAAGGCCUUCGGGUUGUAAAGCCCUUUUGUUGGGAAAGAAAAGCAGCAGGUUAAUACCCCGCUGUUCUGACGGUACCCAAAGAAUAAGCACCGGCUAACUUCGUG